rnacentral:rRNA from 1 species
AGCGAACGCUGGCGGCAGGCCUAACACAUGCAAGUCGAACGAACUCUUCGGAGUUAGUGGCGGACGGGUGAGUAACACGUGGGAACGUGCCUUUAGGUUCGGAAUAACUCAGGGAAACUUGUGCUAAUACCGAAUGUGCCCUUCGGGGGAAAGAUUUAUCGCCUUUAGAGCGGCCCGCGUCUGAUUAGCUAGUUGGUGAGGUAAAGGCUCACCAAGGCGACGAUCAGUAGCUGGUCUGAGAGGAUGAUCAGCCACAUUGGGACUGAGACACGGCCCAAACUCCUACGGGAGGCAGCAGUGGGGAAUCUUGCGCAAUGGGCGAAAGCCUGACGCAGCCAUGCCGCGUGAAUGAUGAGGUCUUAGGAUUGUAAAAUUCUUUCACCGGGGACGAUAAUGACGGUACCCGGAGAAGAAGCCCCGGCUAACUUCG